AUGGCACAGAUGUUGACUUCCUUUGUCAGAGGCUGCUUUUGCCAGGAAGUACAAAAGAUUGCAGGAGAUUCAAAAAUUGAGCCCAGAAACCUGAAAGCCAAAUUAGAUGUGUAGCAGCUAAGACUUCGUGUCAGGUUCAUUGGCAGAGAUGACUGGCAGAAUCCGAAACCCGGGAAGAGAAACAGCGGAAGAAGAUGGGAAGAAAUUCAAGGACUAUCUAAAGAAAUAUUGUAGAAUUAAUGAAUGUUAGAAUGACGUUGGGUUAGAAAAUAUGUGGUUAUCAGCGGUAAUGGAUAAGUAAAAAAGAAAAGAAAGGUUAAAAAUUAAGUGAAAAAUAAGGGAAGGAUUUGCUGAAUAAUAAAUUAGAAAUUGGAAUACAGAAAGGGGAGGUAUGAGGAAGUCGGGAAAGUAAGUUAUAAGAAAAUAAGGGUUGAAAUUAUACUUGUUUUUUUAGUUUCCGUUUGUCUGUUUUAAUGUAUUGUUUUGUUGUUAUAAAAAAAAACUUCUGAAACUUUAAUAAAAAAAUUAUUAAAAAAAAAAAAAGACUUCGUGUCAGGUUCAGAAGGAGACAACCAAGUCUGAAGAUAAAGAACAAGGCAGGAAAGAUAUGAU
rnacentral:lncRNA from 1 species